AGUAACACGUAUCUAACCUGCCGAUGACUCGGGGAUAGCCUUUCGAAAGAAAGAUUAAUACCCGAUGGCAUAGUUCUUCCGCAUGGUAGAACUAUUUAAAGAAUUUCGGUCAUCGAUGGGGAUGCGUUCCAUUAGGUUGUUGGCGGGGUAACGGCCCACCAAGCCUUCGAUGGAUAGGGGUUCUGAGAGGAAGGUCCCCCACAUUGGAACUGAGACACGGUCCAAACUCCUACGGGAGGCAGCAUG
rnacentral:rRNA from 1 species